rnacentral:sRNA from 1 species
CCUGUGUCGAGUAUGACAGCCACGACUCGUGGCUCUCCGGUCGGAGGGAAUGACAACCAGGGCCAGGCUCCUGAUGGACAGUCUCAGCCCCCCCUCCAACAGAAUCAGGCCUUGAUGUUAAAAGUGAAGCAUGUCAGCGAUUUUUCCGAGAUGGGCUAACAAUAUCAUUCACUAAAAUUCUUACAGAUGAAGCAGUGAGUGGCUGGAAGUUUGAAAUUCAUAGGUGUAUUAUUAACAAUACUCAUCGUCUGGUGGAGCUAUGUGUGGCCAAGUUGUCCCAAGACUGGUUUCCACUUUUAGAACUUCUUGCCAUGGCCUUAAAUCCUCAUUGCAAAUUCCAUAUCUACAAUGGUACACGUCCAUGUGAAUCAGUUUCCUCAAGUGUUCAGUUGCCUGAAGAUGAACUCUUUGCUCGUUCUCCAGAUCCUCGAUCACCAAAGGAAUGGAUACAGCAGAACAAUAUCUUAUCCAUAGUGUUGCGAGAUAGUCUUCAUCAGCCACAAUAUGUAGAAAAGUUAGAGAAGAUUCUUCGUUUUGUCAUCAAAGAAAAAGCUCUGACCUUACAGGAUCUUGAUAAUAUAUGGGCAGCACAGGCAGGGAAACAUGAAGCCAUUGUGAAGAAUGUACAUGAUCUCCUGGCAAAAUUGGCAUGGGAUUUUUCUCCUGAACAACUUGAUCAUCUUUUUGAUUGUUUUAAGGCCAGUUGGACAAAUGCGAGUAAAAAGCAACGUGAAAAGCUACUUGAGCUGAUACGUCGUCUUGCAGAAGAUGAUAAAGAUGGUGUGAUGGCACACAAAGUGUUGAACCUUCUGUGGAAUCUGGCUCACAGUGAUGAUGUGCCUGUAGAUAUCAUGGACCUGGCUCUCAGUGCCCACAUAAAAAUACUAGAUUACAGUUGCUCCCAGGACCGUGAUACACAAAAGAUCCAAUGGAUAGAUCGCUUUAUAGAAGAACUUCGCACAAAUGACAAAUGGGUUAUUCCCGCACUGAAACAAAUUAGAGAAAUUUGUAGUUUGUUUGGUGAAGCGCCUCAAAAUUUGAGACCAUGAAGAUUAUGACCCACAAACUGUGAGGCUGGGAAGUAGAUAUAGUCAUGUUCAAGAAGUUCAAGAACGGCUUAACUUCCUUAGAUUUUUAUUGAAGGAUGGCCAGCUGUGGCUAUGUGCUCCUCAGGCAAAACAAAUAUGGAAAUGCUUAGCUGAGAAUGCAGUUUACCUUUGUGAUCGUGAAGCCUGUUUUAAAUGGUAUUCCAAAUUGAUGGGGGAUGAACCAGACUUAGAUCCUGAUAUUAAUAAGGAUUUCUUUGAAAGUAAUGUGCUUCAGCUUGAUCCUUCUCUGUUAACUGAAAAUGGAAUGAAGUGUUUUGAGCGAUUCUUCAAAGCUGUGAAUUGUCGAGAAGGAAAACUAGUAGCAAAAAGGAGAGCCUAUAUGAUGGAUGACUUGGAGUUAAUAGGAUUAGAUUACCUUUGGAGGGUCGUGAUUCAGAGUAAUGAUGAUAUUGCCAGCAGAGCUAUAGAUCUCCUCAAAGAGAUAUACACAAACCUUGGUCCAAGACUACAAGUCAAUCAGGUGGUGAUCCAUGAAGACUUCAUUCAGUCUUGUUUUGAUCGUCUGAAGGCUUCCUAUGACACGUUGUGUGUUUUGGAUGGUGACAAAGACAGUGUUAAUUGUGCAAGACAGGAAGCUGUUCGAAUGGUUCGAGUAUUAACUGUUUUAAGGGAAUAUAUAAAUGAAUGUGACAGUGAUUAUCAUGAGGAAAGAACAAUUCUCCCUAUGUCGAGAGCAUUCCGCGGUAAACACCUCUCUUUUGUAGUUCGAUUUCCAAACCAGGGCAGACAGGUUGAUGACUUGGAGGUAUGGUCUCAUACAAAUGAUACAAUUGGUUCAGUACGACGAUGUAUUCUCAAUCGUAUUAAAGCCAACGUAGCCCAUACAAAAAUUGAGCUCUUUGUGGGCGGUGAGCUGAUAGAUCCUGCAGAUGAUAGAAAGUUGAUUGGACAAUUAAACUUAAAAGAUAAAUCGCUUAUUACAGCCAAACUUACACAGAUAAGUUCCAAUAUGCCUUCAAGCCCUGAUAGCUCUUCUGAUUCCUCCACUGGAUCUCCUGGAAACCAUGGUAAUCAUUACAGUGAUGGUCCCAAUCCAGAAGUGGAAAGCUGUUUGCCUGGAGUGAUAAUGUCACUGCAUCCCAGAUACAUCUCUUUUCUUUGGCAAGUUGCAGACUUAGGUAGCAGCCUAAAUAUGCCACCCCUUAGAGAUGGAGCAAGAGUACUUAUGAAACUUAUGCCGCCAGAUAGCACAACGAUAGAAAAAUUAAGAGCUAUUUGUUUAGACCAUGCCAAACUUGGAGAAAGCAGCCUUAGUCCAUCUCUUGACUCACUUUUCUUUGGUCCUUCAGCCUCACAAGUGCUGUAUCUAACAGAGGUAGUCUAUGCCUUGUUAAUGCCUGCUGGUGCACCUCUGGCUGAUGAUUCCUCUGAUUUUCAGUUUCACUUCUUGAAAAGUGGUGGCCUACCCCUUGUACUGAGUAUGCUAACCAGAAAUAACUUCCUACCAAAUGCAGAUAUGGAAACUCGAAGGGGUGCCUACCUCAAUGCUCUUAAAAUAGCCAAGCUUUUGCUAACUGCCAUUGGCUAUGGUCAUGUUCGAGCUGUGGCAGAAGCUUAUCAGCCAGGUGUAGAAGGUGUGAAUCCCAUGACACCGGCUUCAAGAUAUAUGCCUGAUAUUUGUGUAAUUAGAGCUAUACAAAAAAUUAUCUGGGCAUCAGGAUGUGGGUCUUUACAGCUAGUAUUUAGCCCAAAUGAAGAAAUCACUAAAAUUUAUGAGAAGACCAAUGCAGGCAAUGAGCCAGACUUGGAAGAUGAACAGGUUUGCUGUGAAGCAUUGGAAGUGAUGACCUUAUGUUUUGCCUUGAUUCCAACAGCCUUAGAUGCUCUUAGUAAAGAAAAGGCUUGGCAGACAUUCAUCAUUGACUUACUAUUGCACUGUCACAGCAAAACUGUUCGUCAGGUGGCCCAGGAGCAGUUCUUUUUAAUGUGCACCAGAUGUUGCAUGGGACACCGGCCUCUACUUUUCUUCAUUACUCUACUCUUUACUGUUUUGGGGAGCACAGCAAGAGAGAGAGCUAAACACUCAGGCGACUACUUUACUCUUUUAAGACACCUUCUUAAUUACGCUUACAAUAGUAAUAUUAAUGUACCCAAUGCUGAAGUUCUUCUCAAUAAUGAAAUUGAUUGGCUUAAAAGAAUUAGGGAUGAUGUUAAAAGAACAGGAGAAACGGGUAUUGAAGAGACGAUCUUAGAGGGCCACCUUGGAGUGACAAAGGAGUUACUGGCCUUUCAAACUUCUGAGAAAAAAUUUCAUAUUGGUUGUGAAAAAGGAGGUGCUAAUCUCAUUAAACUUGUGAAGCACUUACUGAGUGGGAAUAUCUGCCACCUGUUGGACCCCGCCCACCCAAAGGAUUCGUGGGGCUGAAAAAUGCCGGUGCUACUUGUUACAUGAAUUCUGUGAUUCAGCAACUCUACGCUUUGGGGUGAGCCUGUUAAUCUGCGUGAACAACACGAUGCUUUAGAAUUUUUUAAUUCAUUGGUGGAUAGUUUAGAUGAAGCUUUAAAAGCUUUAGGACAUCCAGCUAUGCUAAGUAAAGUCUUAGGAGGUUCCUUUGCUGAUCAGAAGAUCUGCCAAGGCUGCCCACAUAGGUUGAUACCGUAAAGCGCUUACUGAUUAAAAAAUUACCUCCUGUUCUUGCUAUACAACUAAAGCGAUUUGACUAUGACUGGGAAAGAGAAUGUGCAAUCAAGUUCAAUGAUUAUUUUGAAUUUCCUCGAGAGCUGGACAUGGAACCUUACACAGUUGCAGGUGUCGCAAAGCUGGAAGGGGAUAAUGUAAACCCAGAGAGUCAGUUGAUACAACAGAGUGAGCAGUCUGAAAGUGAGACAGCAGGAAGCACAAAAUACAGACUUGUGGGUGUGCUUGUACACAGUGGUCAAGCGAGUGGGGGGCAUUAUUAUUCUUACAUCAUCCAAAGGAAUGGUGGAGAUGGUGAGAGAAAUCGCUGGUAUAAAUUUGAUGAUGGUGAUGUAACAGAAUGUAAAAUGGAUGAUGACGAAGAAAUGAAAAACCAGUGUUUUGGUGGAGAGUACAUGGGAGAAGUGUUUGAUCACAUGAUGAAGCGCAUGUCAUACAGGCGCCAGAAAAGGUGGUGGAAUGCUUAUAUACUUUUUUAUGAACGAAUGGACACAAUAGACCAAGAUGAUGAGUUGAUAAGAUAUAUAUCAGAGCUUGCUAUCACCACCAGACCUCAUCAGAUUAUUAUGCCAUCAGCCAUUGAGAGAAGUGUACGGAAACAGAACGUACAAUUCAUGCAUAAGGCAAGAUCACCUGUUGCCUGAAGCAGAAGAAAUCACUAUGAUCAGUAUUCAACUUGCUGCUAGGUUCCUCUUUACUACAGGAUUUCACACAAAGAAAGUAGUCCGUGGCUCUGCCAGUGAUUGGUUUUUUUGUUUUAUUUUAGGUAUGAUGCAUUGUGUAUUCUCCUUCGUCACAGCAAGAAUGUACGUUUUUGGUUUGCUCAUAACGUCCUUUUUAAUGUUUCAAAUCGCUUCUCCGAAUACCUUCUGGAGUGCCCUAGUGCAGAAGUGAGGGGUGCGUUUGCAAAACUUAUAGUCUUUAUUGCACAUUUUUCCUUGCAAGAUGGGCCAUGUCCUUCGCUUAUGACAACUUAAGCUUGAGUGAUCACUUACUAAGAGCAGUACUAAAUCUCUUGAGAAGGGAAGUUUCAGAGCAUGGGCGUCAUUUACAGCAGUAUUUCAACCUGUUUGUAAUGUAUGCCAAUUUAGGUGUGGCAGAGAAGACACAGCUUCUGAAAUUGAGUGUACCUGCUACCUUUAUGCUUGUGUCUUUAGAUGAAGGUCCAGGUCCUCCAAUCAAAUACCAGUAUGCUGAAUUAGGCAAAUUAUACUCAGUAGUGUCACAGCUGAUCCGCUGUUGCAAUGUCUCUUCAAGAAUGCAGUCUUCAAUCAAUGAUACCAGUGUAUAAAAUGUAUGGUAGCUCUAUUUAGUAACUGUCCUGUUGCUUACCAAAUCCUGCAGGGCAAUGGAGAUCUUAAAAGAAAGUGGACCUGGGCGGUGGAAUGGCUUGGAGAUGAACUUGAAAGAAGACCAUAUACUGGCAAUCCUCAGUACACUUACAACAAUUGGUCUCCCCCAGUGCAAAGCAAUGAAACAUCAAAUGGUUAUUUCUUGGAGAGAUCACAUAGUGCUAGGAUGACACUUGCAAAAGCUUGUGAACUCUGUCCAGAGGAGGAGCCAGAUGACCAAGAUGCUCCAGAUGAACAUGAGUCGCCUCCACCUGAAGAUGCCCCAUUGUACCCCCAUUCACCUGGAUCUCAGUAUCAACAGAAUAACCAUGUGCAUGGACAGCCAUAUACAGGCCCAGCAGCACAUCACAUGAACAACCCUCAGAGAACUGGCCAACGAGCACAAGAAAAUUAUGAAGGCAGUGAAGAAGUAUCCCCACCUCAAACCAAGGAUCAGUGAAAUGCACAUAAUUAACUGGUUCCAUCAAGACUGUGCACCCAGGCCUUACAGUCCAACCUUUUUCUGUGUCUGGCUAAUAUUUAAAACUAGAAAAACUAUUCCUAAUCAACAUGGAGUGGAGAGUUUAUUCACUGUCUUAUCUGCAGAAAUUUGCUGUCAAUAUAUAACCCGCCUGCAGUGGAAAGUGUAUAGUGUUUUGUAAUAAAUGGCCUGAUGCUAAUGUGUAAAUGGCAAAGGUGUAUAUAGUAUAUUAAUGUUGACUGUUAAUUCUUAAGAAACUUUUUUCUUGAUGAGACUCACAGAUCUACACAAACUACAAAAGUUAAUUUUCUUGUUAUACCCACUGCACUCUGCAACCAGUGUUGCCUGCCUCAUGGCAGUUGGAUCAGCUCCUUUACAAAAAAAAAAAAAAAAAAACCAACAACGGCAACAAAACAGAGCCCAUCCAUGUCAGCCACACCAAUAGUUUCAUGUUAAUUCUUUGCCACUGGAGUCAAUUUUGCUAUGAGCAAUGUAAGGCUGGUAACCUUUAAAUUAUUUGGUUGAUGUGGAAAAUUGGUGAUGUAACACUGUUUCUAGAUUUUUUUCAUUGCCUUUUUAUUCUGAUAUUAGGUUAAUCACUUUGAAGCUAUAGUUAUGCUGUAACAUUUAGCAUGGCUUCACACCAAGUUAGUGUAGCCAAUGAGGAAAAAGUUACCAUAAUGACAGCAGUUGUCCGAGAAGUGACAGCUGUAUUACUCAGAGCUUUUACUUCUUACACCUAGAAUAUUAAAAUAUAAAACAAGGGGAGAAAUGUGACAAACAGGCUAUUUUCAGUUGCACAUAUGUUUCUUAUAUAUAAUGUUUGACAGUUCAAUCUCUGGGUGGGAUAAAGAACACUUACGUAUCAGUAAUGGGAAUUUUUAAAGAUUUAAAACAAAUAUGCAAAAAUCUGCUAUGCCAAGAUGCUGGAGCAUAAUAGAAGACUGUAUUUGGUGUGCUUGUUUUGUUUCUUUGGUAGAGUUUAUUAGGUGAAUCUUCUAAAACUUUCCUUCUGUUGGAUCCCAGUGACGUGGAAGUCAUCAGAACCCCACGGUACUUGGAGUACCUCUCUGCACCAAGAUAGCUGGCUGAUUUUCUGCUCAGUCACAAUUUUACUUGAAAGCAAGAAUUGUCCUAGCUCCUUUUCCAUUAUUCCAAAACGUUUAACGUUCAAAGCAGGGUCUCAUUAAAAAAACUACUGGUUAAUAUAAUUGAGAUAUCACAAUUUCAGAAUAAACAUUUGAUUAAAAAUAAGGAACUCCUCAAUUCAUACUGUAUUUAAAAGAGAAUUGGUAACUUGAAUGUGUGUAAUUUUUUGGAACCUGUCUAAAAACCAAAUACCCCUGCAAACAGAUACAGCCCACCCUAUUCUAUUUAAAUAUUUUGCUGUUUUAUUUUAUAGAAAUUAUUUUGCUGAAUUCACAAAUAGAACUUGAUUUAAGAAGA